rnacentral:rRNA from 1 species
GACGAACGCUGGCGGCGUGCUUAACACAUGCAAGUCGAGCGGUAAGGCCCUUUCGGGGGUACACGAGCGGCGAACGGGUGAGUAACACGUGGGUGACCUGCCCUCAGCUCUGGGAUAAGCCUGGGAAACUGGGUCUAAUACUGGAUAUGACUCCACGGUGCAUGUCGUGGGGUGGAAAGCCUUGUGCGGCUGAGGAUGGGCCCGCGGCCUAUCAGCUUGUUGGUGGGGNGAUGGCCUACCAAGGCGACGACGGGUAGCCGGCCUGAGAGGGCGACCGGCCACACUGGGACUGAGACACGGCCCAGACUCCUACGGGAGGCAGCAGUGGGGAAUCUUGCGCAAUGGGCGAAAGCCUGACGCAGCGACGCCGCGUGAGGGAUGACGGCCUGGUU